ACGAUGGACAUUGCAAAGAGUGGCGAACGGGUGAGUAACACGUGGGAAACCUACCUCUUAGCAGGGGAUAACAUUUGGAAACAGAUGCUAAUACCGUAUAACAAUAGCAACCGCAUGGUUGCUACUUAAAAGAUGGCUCUGCUAUCACUUCUGGAUGGACCCGCGGCGUAUUAGCUAGUUGGUGAGGUAAAGGCUCACCAAGGCAGUGAUACGUAGCCGACCUGAGAGGGUAAUCGGCCACAUUGGGACUGAGACACGGCCCAGACUCC
rnacentral:rRNA from 1 species